GACCUGCGGAGGAUCAUUAAUGAAUAUAACACCGGAGGGAGGAAUACGGGGGACAAAGUUGUCGCUGGCCUUGUAACGAGGCAUGUGCACGCUCCCCGAGGACCUCUCGACGUCUUUCAUCUUAUCACCUGUGCACCUAAAGUAGGUCGGCAUGGUUUUGGUAAAACGAAACCGUGCGAGUGCCUUUCCCUGCGGGGGGAGGUCGAGAACCUAUUGUAUUAAAUUACAUCUUCRUGUAGAAAGUCUUUGAAUGUUUACGAUCAUAGAGCCGCGACUUCUAGGAGACGCGGGUCUUUGAGAUAAAAGUUAUUACAACUUUCAGCAAUGGAUCUCUUGGCUCUCGCAUCGAUGAAGAACGCAGCGAAAAGCGAUAUGUAAUGUGAAUUGCAGAUCUACAGUGAAUCAUCGAAUCUUUGAACGCACCUUGCGCUCCUUGGUAUUCCGAGGAGCAUGCCUGUUUGAGUGUCAGUUAAUUCAUCAACCCCUCUCGAUUAGCUUCGAGGGGGAGCUUGGAUAGUGGGGGUUGCCGGAGACUUGGGACUAGUUCCAGGACUCGGGCUCUCCUGAAAUGCAUCGGCUUGCGGUCGACUUUCGACUUUGCGCGAAAAGGCUUUCGGCGUGAUAAUGAUCGCCGUGUGCUGAAGCGCAUGAAUGAACGUUCCGUGCCUCUAAUACGCAUCGACCUCUUUAGGUCUUUGAAUUUGACAUUUUGACCUCAAAUCAGGUAGGACUACCCGCUGAACUUAAGCAUAUCAAUAAGCGGAGGAAAAGAAACUAACAAGGANUCCCCUAGUAACUGCGAGUGA
rnacentral:rRNA from 1 species